CUACGGGUUGCAGCAGUGAGGAAUAUUGCGCAAUGGGGGCAACCCUGACGCAGCGACGCCGUGUGAAGGAUGAAGGCCCUAGGGUUGUAAACUUCUGUCUAGAGGGAAGAAACUCUGACGGUACCUCUAAAGAAAGCACCGGCUAACUCCGUGCCAGCAGCCGCGGGAAUACGGAGGGUGCAAGCGUUAUUCGGAAUUACUAGGUGUAAAGGGCGUGUAGGUGGUUUAAAAAGUUAGAUGUGAAAUCUUGCAGCUCAACUGUAAGACUGCAUCUAAAACUGUUAGACUAGAGUAUGAAAGGGGAAAACGGAAUUUCUGGUGUAGCGGUGGAAUGUGUAGAUACCAGAAGGAACACCGAUGGCGAAAGCAGUUUUCUAGUUCAAUACUGACACUGAGGCGCGAAAGCUAGGGGAGCAAACAGGAUUAGAUACCCGCGUAGUC
rnacentral:rRNA from 1 species